UACGGAGGGGGCGAGCGUUGUCCGAAGUUACUGGGCGUAAAGCGCGUGUAGGCGGCUAUCUAAGUCGGGCGUGAAAUCCCAUGGCUCAACCAUGGAAGUGCACCCGAAACUGGGCAGCUAGAGUCCUGGAGAGGAAGGUGGAAUGCUUGGUGUAGAGGUGAAAUUCGUAGAUAUCAAGCGGAACACCGGUGGCGAAGGCGGCCUUCUGGACAGUGACUGACGCUGAGACGCGAAAGCGUGGGGAGCAAACAGG
rnacentral:rRNA from 1 species